UACGAAGGGGGCGAGCGUUGUUCGGAUUUACUGGGCGUAAAGGGCGCGUAGGCGGCGGGUCAAGUCGAGUGUGAAAGCCCCGGGCUCAACCUGGGAAUUGCGCUCGAGACUGGUCUGCUUGAGUUCGGGAGAGGAGCGUGGAAUUCCCAGUGUAGAGGUGAAAUUCGUAGAUAUUGGGAAGAACACCAGUGGCGAAGGCGGGUCUCUGGACAGUUCCUGACGCUGAGGCACGAAGGCCAGGGGAGCAAACGGG
rnacentral:rRNA from 1 species